rnacentral:rRNA from 1 species
AUGGCUCAUUAAAUCAGUUAUCGUUUAUUUGAUAGUACCUUACUACUUGGAUAACCGUGGUAAUUCUAGAGCUAAUACAUGCUAAAAACCCCAACUCACGAAGGGGUGUAUUUAUUAGAUUAAAAACCAAUGCCCUUCGGGGCUCUUUGGUGAUUCAUAAUAACUUCUCGAAUCGCAUGGCCUUGCGCCGGCGAUGGUUCAUUCAAAUUUCUGCCCUAUCAACUUUCGAUGGCAGGGUCUUGGCCUGCCAUGGUUACAACGGGUAACGGAGGGUUAGGGCUCGACCCCGGAGAAGGAGCCUGAGAAACGGCUACUACAUCCAAGGAAGGCAGCAGGCGCGCAAAUUACCCAAUCCCGACUCGGGGAGGUAGUGACAAUAAAUACUGAUACAGGGCUCUUUUGGGUCUUGUAAUUGGAAUGAGUACAAUUUAAAUCCCUUAACGAGGAACAAUUGGAGGGCAAGUCUGGUGCCAGCAGCCGCGGUAAUUCCAGCUCCAAUAGCGUAUAUUAAAGUUGUUGCAGUUAAAAAGCUCGUAGUUGAACCUUGGGCCUGGCUGGCCGGUCCGCCUCACCGCGUGCACUGGUUCGGCCGGGCCUUUCCCUCUGGGGAACUGCAUGCUCUUCACUGAGCGUGUUAGGGAACCAGGACUUUUACUGUGAAAAAAUUAGAGUGUUCAAAGCAGGCCUAUGCUCGAAUACAUUAGCAUGGAAUAAUAGAAUAGGACGUGUGGUUCUAUUUUGUUGGUUUCUAGGACCGCCGUAAUGAUUAAUAGGGACAGUCGGGGGCAUCAGUAUUCAAUUGUCAGAGGUGAAAUUCUUGGAUUUAUUGAAGACUAACUACUGCGAAAGCAUUUGCCAAGGAUGUUUUCAUUAAUCAGGAACGAAAGUUAGGGGAUCGAAGACGAUCAGAUACCGUCGUAGUCUUAACCAUAAACUAUGCCGACUAGGGAUCGGACGAAGUUACAUAUUGACUCGUUCGGCACCUUA